GUUCACAGACAUAACAUCCUGAAUGCACCUAAUCUUGGCUGAUUUUUGAAGCUAGGCAGGGUCAAGCCUGGUUAGGAUUUGGAUGGGAGACCACCUGGGAAUACUGGGUACUGUAGGCU
rnacentral:rRNA from 1 species